CGCUGCCGGCAGGCCUAACACAUGCAAGUCGAGCGGAUGAAGGGAGCUUGCUCCUGAAUUCAGCGGCGGACGGGUGAGUAAUGCCUAGGAAUCUGCCUGGUAGUGGGGGACAACGUUUCGAAAGGAACGCUAAUACCGCAUACGUCCUACGGGAGAAAGCAGGGGACCUUCGGGCCUUGCGCUAUCAGAUGAGCCUAGGUCGGAUUAGCUAGUUGGUGAGGUAAUGGCUCACCAAGGCGACGAUCCGUAACUGGUCUGAGAGGAUGAUCAGUCACACUGGAACUGAGACACGGUCCAGACUCCUACGGGAGGCAGCAGUGGGGAAUAUUGGACAAUGGGCGAAAGCCUGAUCCAGCCAUGCCGCGUGUGUGAAAAAGGUCUUCGGAUUGUAAAGCACUUUAAGUUGGGAGGAAGGGUUGUAAAUUAAUACUCUGCAAUUUUGACGUUACCGACAGAAUAAGCACCGGCUAACUCUGUGCCAGCAGCCGCGGUAAUACAGAGGGUGCAAGCGUUAAUCGGAAUUACUGGGCGUAAAGCGCGCGUAGGGGGUCGUUAAUUGG
rnacentral:rRNA from 1 species